rnacentral:rRNA from 1 species
GACGAACGCUGGCGGCGUGCUUAACACAUGCAAGUCGAACGAUGAACCCGGAGCUUGCUCCGGUGGAUUAGUGGCGAACGGGUGAGUAACACGUGAGUAACCUGCCCUUGACUCUGGGAUAACUGCGGGAAACUGUAGCUAAUACCGGAUACGACCCUCGGCGGCAUCUCCAGGGGGUGGAAAGAAUUUCGGUCAAGGAUGGACUCGCGGCCUAUCAGCUAGUUGGUGAGGUAACGGCUCACCAAGGCUAUGACGGAUAGGGGGUGUGAGAGCACGACCCCCCUCACUGGGACUGAGACACUGCCCAGACACCUACGGGUGGCUGCAGUCGAGAAUCUUCCCCAAUGGCCGAAAGGCUGAGGGAGCGACGCCGCGUGCAGGAUGAAGGGCUUUGGCUCGUAAACUGCUUUUUUUAGGGACGAAUGUUGACGGUACCUAAAGAAUAAGAGGUUGCUAACUCUGUGCCAGCAGCCGCGGUAA